GAUCCUGGCUCAGGAUGAACGCUGGCGGCGUGCCUAAUACAUGCAAGUCGAACGAGAAGCCUUGGAUUUAUCUAAGGUGGAGAGUGGCGCACGGGUGAGUAACACAUGGCUGACCUGCCCCUCAGAGGGGGACAACCGGUGGAAACGCCGGCUAAUACCCCAUGCUUGCGUCCGGGUUAGAGGCCGGAUGCAGAAAGGCCGAGGCGCUGAGGGAGGGGGCUGUGGACCAUCAGCUAGUUGGUAGGGUAACGGCCUACCAAGGCGAGGACGGAUAGGGGGCCUGAGAGGGUGACCCCCCACACGGGCACUGAGACACGGGCCCGACUCCUACGGGAGGCAGCAGUAAGGGAUAUUGCGACAAUGGGCGUAAGCCUGACGCAGCAACGCCGCGUGGAGGAUGAAGGCCUUCGGGUUGUAAACUCCUUUUCUGUGGGAAGAGGAAGGACGGUACCACAGGAAGAAGUCUCGGCUAACUACGUGCCAGCAGCCGCGGUAAAACGUAGGAGGCGAGCGUUAUCCGGAUUUACUGGGUGUAAAGCGCGUGCAGGCGGUCUGGUAAGUCGAGCGUGAAAGCUCCCGGCUCAACCGGGAGAGGACGUGCGAAACUGCGAGGCUAGAGACAGGUAGAGGCGUACGGAAUUCCGGGUGUAGUGGUGAAAUGCGUAGAUAUCCGGAGGAACACCAGUGGCGAAGGGCGGUACGCUGGGCCUGGUCUGACGCUAAGACGCGAAAGCAUGGGGAGCGGACGGGAUUAGAAACCCCGGUAGUCCAUGGCCGUAACGAUGCUAACUAGGUGUUGCGGGUAAAAGACCGGCAGUGCCGGAGUUAACGCGAUAAGUUAGCCACUGGGGGACUACGGUCGCAAGGCUAACUCCAAAAGAAUUGACGGGGGGCCCGCACAAGCAGCGGAAGCGUGUGGUUUAAUUCGAGGGUACACGAAAAAACCUACCUGGGCUUGACAUGACGGUGGUAGGGAACCGAAAGGGGACCGACCUUCGGGAGCCGUCACAGGUGCUGCAUGGCUGUCGUCAGCUCGUGUCGUGAGAUGUUCGGUUAAGUCCGGUAACGAGCGCAACCCUCAUCGCUAGUUACAAGUGUCUAGCGAGACUGCCCGUUCAACGCGGGAGGAAGGGCGGGGGAUGACGUCAAGUUUCAGCCAUGGCCUUUUAUGUCCAGGGCUACACACACGCUACAAUGGCCGGUACAAUGGGUCGCCAACCCGCGAGGGGGAGCCAAUCCACCAAAGCCGGUCACAGUUCGAAUUGCAGGCUGCAACCCGCCUGCAUGAAGUCGGAGUUGCUAGUAACCGCAGGUC
rnacentral:rRNA from 1 species